UGAAAACGGGACUCCAUUAUCUGUCCGGACCCCCCGCUGCCUCCGCCCCCACCUGGCCGCCUCCUCAUAUUACUGAAAAGCUUGAGGAGUGAGAGAUCCCCCCGGCUGAUUUGAGCAGUCGCUCCUGACGCUGUUCAACGCUCGGGGAGGGUCGGCCCUGCGCCAUUGUUCAGCGGAUGGGGGAGUUAACCGGCGCCGCCAGGCCCUGAUGGGAAAAGCUACUCCAAAUCGCUGCUAAACUGAGGAUUGGGAAUUCGCCUAUCUGGUUCCACCCCCCCCCCCUUUGUGAUGCGGUGAGCCUCGUUGUAAUUUGAAGGGGACGUGCGCGCUGGGGAGAGACGGGGAAUCCUCCCUCUCAGCCCACUGUGACAGCUUCCUUCACCAACAGUGUCUGCAGUGUCUUUCAUGGUUUGUUAGUUUAGCAUAGCUCCCCGGUUUCCCGCCCGGGACGCAAACUUAUGUUACUGCUUAGACAGGGAGCCAGCUGAGAUUUGGUGCUAAGUUGUAAGAAACUCACACAGGUGCGCGAGUUGGAAAAUAAAAGUCAUUUUGAAGUGAGGGAGAACUGAAGCCCUGACUCAUAAGGGGUGUUCAUAAGUAAACUUCACGCAGCUGGAAUUCUUAAUGCAGAGGAAACUGGCACCAGACCAAGGCUUCAAACGAACUAAUUCAAUUUACCUCGUUGCUUUUGCCACUGACUGUUCGUCUCUUUAGCCUCAGAAUAUUUCCUAAAUGCAUGAGUUUUGCCUGUCGUUCACCAGCAGCUCAGCAUGGGGCCGCCUUUAAAACUUUCUAAGCAACGAACCGAAUCACAUGGUGUCAAAAAGUUGAGUACGCAGAAUUUAAUGGAUUUCCUCAGUGUAUCUUGGAGCUUGCAAAAUACAUAUGUAAGCGAUUGAACGUGAUGAACGAGAUGAUUUUCUAAACUUUUAGUCAUAAAAGAAUUGAACGGCAAGGCUGAAUAUCACAGAUGGACACGUGAGAUUAAAGAGAUACAUUAUAAAGCCUGGGAUGCAGAGAGAACGACCCUUUGGGCAAUUUGGUAAAAUAUUAAAGGAGGUGCUGAGAGAAUCCCAGAAUGAGGGGAGAGAUGGUUGUAUAAGGAAAGGAGAUGGAAGAAUUCAAUGAGAGACUCAUCAAAGACAAUCAAAAGCAGCCUGCGAUCACAUCAUAUAUUAUGCAACGCUACAUUCUCUCAGCAACUAAAAAGAAGGUCCCCCUGCAGGGGAGCGGCGGUGUGUGUAAUUAUUCGCAGCAUUUUUUUUUUUUUUUGUUUAAUGGCCGAUUCAAACCCUCACUGACACCAGUGGGGUUGGAACACCGCAGUAAUUACACCAACACCGCGCUGAUUGAAUUACUGAGCAGCGACGACGAGGAGCAGAGUGGAAGGAGAAGUCUGGAGCGGCGUUGUGACGAUAUUAAAGAUGUGACACGCACGCGCCGACGCGUGCGUCGGUUCAUAAAAGGAGGCGGCGCGCGCACACAGAGGAGGCAGCGGGGAACGAACCGACGGAAACGCGCGAGAACAAAUGGUCGUGUGAGACCAUCGGCGGCUUUUUCGGGCCACUCUGACACGUUCAGGGGGUCGCGGGAGAACGACGGCGGCGAAGUGGGAAAGCGAAAGAGAGGUCAUGCGCAUAAACGCGGCGAGACGCAGUCGAGAGCGCCGCGCGGUGAUUUCUCCGGAGUGAACGCAGUCGGGAGCGUCGCGCCGCCACUCGCAGCAUAAUUUAUAGCGGGGGGGAUUGAGUUCAUUGACAUUUAUAAACAAGCAGAGGCAACAUGCCGCUAAUAAGGAUCAUUAAUGGCCGUUUUGUAAUGAGCCCGUGGAAACAUGCAAUUAAGACGCCGCACCCAGACAAUGCGUUAUUGAUUAAGCGCUAUAAGCGAGAAUGCUUGUGGUUUUAAGGGACACGAUGCAAAUUCUCGAGUUUUGACAGUGAAGAAUAAAAGAGAGGAGGCAUGAAAACCGUUUCCAGGCCAGUGGAGUUCCUAAAUUAUUCUGCGGGCACUGGGUGUGAUGGGGAGGCCGAGACGACAGAAGGUAAAAAGCCGAGGAGAUGAAACGACACAUUUAAACGCGCGGAGACCGAGACCGGAAAGAGGGGAAACUCAAAUACAAUGGAAAAUGGCUUGAAGAGCAUUGAAACCCCGAGGCGAUGGUCACAGACAUGCGCCGACGCGUCACGCCUUAACGGGAGACGCAGGCGUUGUUGCUAAGUGACGGCGAAAAUGGAGAGCGCGGCCUUCCAAGAAUCCACUCUACCAUUAACAGGAACAUCCUUCUGCAAUUAAACGUGACCCGGGGAGGACGCCUAUAGGGUGAAGGUGCUGCAGCUACAGUGAAGAACAUAAAUCGGCUGAGUUUAAUAAUUCAUCUGAUGAAUAAUGGAGCAUGCAUAAUAACUUCAUAAGGGCCGCGCUGCGAUAUCAAAGACAAAUGGCAGACGUGAGGCUCCUGGUGAGUUCCUGAUGACGCCGUAACGCCUGCGUUUCCUCUGCAUCCAAACCAAUGCACAAACAGACGCCGUGUUCCCACCGAGGAUUCCCUUUGCCAGAUUAUUGAAACGUUCCACAGCCGUCUGUCUGGUCGACUGCUCCGGCGAGCGACGGAGAAUCAGCCUCGUUUGACUGUGGUUGAGGGAACGAGGCAGAACGAUGAUCGACGUAGUCCUAAGGAA